CCAGACUCCUACGGGAGGCAGCAGUGGGGAAUAUUGGACAAUGGGGGGAACCCUGAUCCAGCGACGCCGCGUGAGUGAAGAAGUAUUUCGGUAUGUAAAGCUCUAUCAGCAGGGAAGAAAGAAAUGACGGUACCUGACUAAGAAGCCCCGGCUAACUACGUGCCAGCAGCCGCGGUAAUACGUAGGGAGCGAGCGUUGUCCGGAAUUACUGGGUGUAAAGGGAGCGUAGGCGGGACGGCAAGUCAGAUGUGAAAACUGAGGGCUCAACUUUCAGACUGCAUUUGAAACUGCUGUUCUUGAGUGAAGUAGAGGUAAGCGGAAUUCCUAGUGUAGCGGUGAAAUGCGUAGAUAUUAGGAGGAACACCAGUGGCGAAGGCGGCUUACUGGACUGUAACUGACGUUGAGGCUCGAAAGCGUGGGGAGCAAACAGGAUUAGAUACCCUCGUAC
rnacentral:rRNA from 1 species